CUAUUUUCUGUAUUGGAGAAAGCAUUUCCUAAUGUGAUUUUUCUGUUGCUAUGUAUCUUCCAGUUCAUUUUUGUUCAGCCCACACCCUGUCACAGUACUCAUCAAUCUUUUGUUAGUUACCAACAUUAA